UACAGAGGUCCCAAGCGUUGUUCGGAUUCACUGGGCGUAAAGGGUGCGUAGGCGGUCGGGUAAGUCUGAUGUGAAAUCUCACAGCUUAACUGUGAAACUGCAUUGGAUACUAUCCGGCUCGAGGAAUGGAGGGGAGACUGGAAUACUUGGUGUAGCAGUGAAAUGCGUAGAUAUCAAGUGGAACACCAGUGGCGAAGGCGAGUCUCUGGACAUUUCCUGACGCUGAGGCACGAAAGCCAGGGUAGCAAACGGG
rnacentral:rRNA from 1 species